rnacentral:misc_RNA from 1 species
UUGGCACUGAUGCAUAUGAACAGGUAUCUGAAUGGCGAAAUAUGAUGAACUAAAUUAUUAAGAUGAUAUAUAAUGUACCAUAAAAAAUGAUACUUAAUGCAUAUAUUCAAAAAAAUCUGAAUGCGAACUAUAUCAAGUGUCGUUAAGUAGCUAAUAUUGCCCAUAAAUUUAUUUAUCCUUUAGCGUUUUCAGUAAAUCAUUUCUGUGAAAACCAAUGUGACUAAUUUUUGAAAGAAAGUUAUCAGAAAAAUAUUAAAUGCUAAAUGCAUGCGUGUGUUCCUGAGUUUACAGUGUAGACUUGGUAAAAUUAACUCAUGAAAAGCACAUGGUG